rnacentral:rRNA from 1 species
AAUGAACGCUGGCGGCGCGCCUAAUACAUGCAAGUCGAGCGAGAAGACGUAGCAAUACGUUUGUAAAGCGGCGAACGGGUGAGGAAUACAUGGGUAACCUACCCUCGAGUGGGGAAUAACUAGCCGAAAGGUUAGCUAAUACCGCGUACGCUUCUUGGACUUCGGUUCAGGGAGGAAAGCGAUACCGUGGGUAUCGCGCUCUUGGAUGGGCUCAUGUCCUAUCAGCUUGUUGGNGAGGUAACGGCUCACCAAGGCUUCGACGGGUAGCUGGUCUGAGAGGACGAUCAGCCACACUGGCACUGCGACACGGGCCAGACUCCUACGGGAGGCAGCAGUAAGGAAUAUUGCGCAAUGGGCGAAAGCCUGACGCAGCGACGCCGCGUGGGGGAUGAAGGUCUUCGGAUUGUAAACCCCUUUCGGGA